GGGCCCGCACAAGCGGUGGAGCAUGUGGUUUAAUUCGAUGAUACGCGAGGAACCUUACCAGGACUUAAAUGUAAGUUGCAUGAUUCAGAAAUGAAUCUUUCUUCGGACUACUUACAAGGUGCUGCAUGGUUGUCGUCAGCUCGUGCCGUGAGGUGUCAGGUUAAGUCCUAUAACGAGCGCAACCCCUAUCGUUAGUUGCCAGCAAUUAAAGUUGGGUACUCUAGCGAGACUGCCGGUGCAAACCGUGAGGAAGGUGGGGAUGACGUCAAAUCAUCACGGCCCUUACGUCCUGGCUACACACGUGCUACAAUGGCCGGUACAGAGAGCAGCCACUACGCGAGUAG
rnacentral:rRNA from 1 species